rnacentral:rRNA from 1 species
CAGUCGCCGCGGUAAUACGAAGGGGGCUAGCGUUGCUCGGAAUGACUGGGCGUAAAGGGCGCGUAGGCGGGCUGCCAAGUCUGUGGUGAAAUCCUCCGGCUCAACCGGGGAAGUGCCAUGGAUACUGGCGGCCUCGCGGGAGGUAGGGGCGUGCGGAACUGUGGGUGGAGCGGUGAAAUGCGUUGAUAUCCACAGGAACUCCGGUGGCGAAGGCGGCACGCUGGACCUCUUCUGACGCUGAAGCGCGAAAGCCAGGGGAGCGAACGGGAUUAGAUACCCGUGUAGUCCCUGUCUCUUAUAC